UAUACAUGCAGUUCGAACGCUUCCUUUUCCUCCCGAGUGCUUGCACUCAAUUGGAAAGAGGAGUGGCGGACGGGUGAGUAACACGUGGGUAACCUACCCAUCAGAGGGGGAUAACACUUGGAAACAGGUGCUAAUACCGCAUAACAGUUUAUGCCGCAUGGCAUAAGAGUGAAAGGCGCUUUCGGGUGUCGCUGAUGGAUGGACCCGCGGUGCAUUAGCUAGUUGGUGAGGUAACGGCUCACCAAGGCCACGAUGCAUAGCCGACCUGAGAGGGUGAUCGGCCACACUGGGACUGAGACACGGCCCAGACUCCUACGGGAGGCAGCAGUAGGGAAUCUUCGGCAAUGGACGAAAGUCUGACCGAGCAACGCCGCGUGAGUGAAGAAGGUUUUCGGAUCGUAAAACUCUGUUGUUAGAGAAGAACAAGGACGUUAGUAACUGAACGUCCCCUGACGGUAUCUAACCAGAAAGCCACGGCUAACUACGUGCCAGCAGCCGCGGUAAUACGUAGGUGGCAAGCGUUGUCCGGAUUUAUUGGGCGUAAAGCGAGCGCAGGCGGUUUCUUAAGUCUGAUGUGAAAGCCCCCGGCUCAACCGGGGAGGGUCAUUGGAAACUGGGAGACUUGAGUGCAGAAGAGGAGAGUGGAAUUCCAUGUGUAGCGGUGAAAUGCGUAGAUAUAUGGAGGAACACCAGUGGCGAAAGCGGCUCUCUGGUCUGUAACUGACGCUGAGGCUCGAAAGCGUGGGGAGCAAACAGGAUUAGAUACCCUGGUAGUCCACGCCGUAAACGAUGAGUGCUAAGUGUUGGAAGGUUUCCGCCCUUCAGUGCUGCAGCAAACGCAUUAAGCACUCCGCCUGGGGAGUACGACCGCAAGGUUGAAACUCAAAGGAAUUGACGGGGGCCCGCACAAGCGGUGGAGCAUGUGGUUUAAUUCGAAGCAACGCGAAGAACCUUACCAGGUCUUGACAUCCUUUGACCACUCUAGAGAUAGAGCUUUCCCUUCGGGGACAAAGUGACAGGUGGUGCAUGGUUGUCGUCAGCUCGUGUCGUGAGAUGUUGGGUUAAGUCCCGCAACGAGCGCAACCCUUAUUGUUAGUUGCCAUCAUUUAGUUGGGCACUCUAGCGAGACUGCCGGUGACAAACCGGAGGAAGGUGGGGAUGACGUCAAAUCAUCAUGCCCCUUAUGACCUGGGCUACACACGUGCUACAAUGGGAAGUACAACGAGUCGCUAGACCGCGAGGUCAUGCAAAUCUCUUAAAGCUUCUCUCAGUUCGGAUUGCAGGCUGCAACUCGCCUGCAUGAAGCCGGAAUCGCUAGUAAUCGCGGAUCAGCACGCCGCGGUGAAUACGUUCCCGGGCCUUGUACACACCGCCCGUCACACCACGAGAGUUUGUAACAACCCGAAAGUCGGUGGAGGUAAACCUUUUGGAGCCAGCCGCCU
rnacentral:rRNA from 1 species